AGACUCCUGUCAGUUGCCUCUCCU
rnacentral:siRNA from 1 species